AUGAGCAGGGCGGGGGCCAGACGAGGGGCUAUAUAAGCAGUUGCGCCGCCAGCUCUCAGCGUACAUCGUGCUGGGAUUUUGAAACGUUGUGCUGCCCUUGCACUCACCGAGGACCGAACAAAAUGGCAUCAGAUGAGGGAAAGCUCUUUGUUGGUGGACUGAGUUUUGAUACCAAUGAACAGUCACUGGAGCAAGUUUUUUCUAAAUACGGCCAGAUAUCUGAAGUUGUCGUGGUGAAAGACCGAGAGACCCAGAGGUCCAGAGGCUUUGGGUUUGUCACUUUUGAGAACAUAGAUGAUGCUAAAGAUGCAAUGAUGGCUAUGAAUGGAAAGUCUGUUGAUGGGCGUCAGAUUAGAGUUGACCAGGCAGGUAAAUCAUCCGAAAACAGAUCCCGUGGAUACAGAGGGGGUUCAUCAGGUGGCAGAGGCUUUUUCCGUGGAGGCAGAGGUCGGGGGGGCCGUGGCUUCUCUAGAGGAGGUGGAGACAGAGGCUAUGGAGGAAGCAGAUUUGAUUCCAGAAGUGGGGGAUAUAAUGGGUCUAGAGACUACUAUAGCAGCAGCAGGAAUCAAGGUGGCUAUGGUGACAGGUCUUCAGGAGGGUCCUACAGAGACAACUAUGACAGUUACGGGUGAAGAGAAGAUGGACAGUUGAGCCUGAAACAGCAUUCCUGAGCAUUUCAUGAAAGCAGUACCAACAAUCAACUUUCUAAGCAGCAGUGAGCUGCAUUGAAGAGGAUUGAUACGGCUGACUGACCGGUGGAGUUCAAGAGCUUUGAGCAGUGUAUAAUAUCUGAUAUAGAUCAAGUGAACAAUCUGACUUGUUAUAACUGAUAGAAUAAAGAAUUGGACUGGAAAAAGCAAUGAUUUUUUAAUAAUUUUAUAAAUGCAAGAAAGAUGGAUUUAGUCAAGGCACGAUUUGAUACAGAUUUUGGGUUAUAUGAUGUAUAGUUUAAAGCUUUAGCACUGGAAAUCUGUCCCUACUUAUGAAGGUCCAGUUGAUCCAUAAAGGGCUAAAGAUCAUUGAGUGAGCCCCUGUGUAGGAUUCUAAGAGGUUUGCUUAUGACUGGGGGGAUUGAAGGCUCCUCCUAAAAUACUUUAGAAUCUGUCUGUUUUAAUGGCUGUUGAGGGGGUAAUGAUUUGGUGGCUUACCCCUUCAUGACCAAGUCAGAGUUCAAAAAAAAAACCUAAAGUCACUGAAACACCAUUGGAACCUUGUAUAUGGUUGUUCUAGCUACAUGUAUUCCAUCUAUUUUGCAUUCACAAAUGUUACUACCUUCUGAUAACUUGAGUUUGAAGGGGCCCUAUGGUCAUUUGAGCAACUACAUAAACACUAGUGGUCAGUAUUUGUUUCUGUCCCAAACCUAUUACUCUAAUAAAACUUGGAAUUUUAGAAAUCA